GAAGCCUACGGGGCGCAGCAGUGAGGAAUAUUGGUCAAUGGCCGAGAGGCUGAACCAGCCAAGUCGCGUGAGGGAUGACGGCCCUACGGGUUGUAAACCUCUUUUGUCGGGGAGCAAGACCCGCCACGAGUGGCGGAGCGAGAGUACCCGAAGAAAAAGCAUCGGCGAAAUCCGUGCCAGCAGCCGCGGGAAUACGGAGGAUGCGAGCGUUAUCCGGAUUUAUUGGGGUUAAAGGGUGCGCAGGCGGACCCUCAAGUAAGCGGUAAAA
rnacentral:rRNA from 1 species